rnacentral:rRNA from 1 species
GGCUCACCUAGGCGACGAUCCCUAGCUGGUCUGAGAGGAUGACCAGCCACACUGGAACUGAGACACGGUCCAGACUCCUACGGGAGGCAGCAGUGGGGAAUAUUGCACAAUGGGCGCAAGCCUGAUGCAGCCAUGCCGCGUGUGUGAAGAAGGCCUUCGGGUUGUAAAGCACUUUCAGCGGGGAGGAAGGCGAUAAGGUUAAUAACCUUGUCGAUUGACGUUACCCGCAGAAGAAGCACCGGCUAACUCCGUGCCAGCAGCCGCGGUAAUACGGAGGGUGCAAGCGUUAAUCGGAAUUACUGGGCGUAAAGCGCACGCAGGCGGUCUGUCAAGUCGGAUGUGAAAUCCCCGGGCUCAACCUGGG